UGAAGUUUUUCUGGAAACUAGUGUUAGUUUGGUAGUGGAUUUAUCACUAUGUUCAUUUAUAACAGUGAGAGUGAUUGAUACUAUCUAAACAUGCUCUCAACUCUAAGCUCUUGAAAUUGAAGGACAAAGUAAAGGUCACUCCUUUUAUUAUUUUUUUUUCAUGCUAAUUCACGUAGUUUUUAAGUAAUUUAUCUGCUGAUAAUACUGUGUUUUUGUGUAAUUGAAUAGAAGUGAAGUGUUCUAAAUUACAAUGCAAUUGGAAACAUAUCUCCUUUGGAGCAUCAUUUAUAGAUGUUUAAGCUGAGGGUCUAUCUCUACGAGUAGGGGUAAGGUUUGCAUAAACGUCACCCUCCCAAGACCCCAAUUGUGGGAUUACGCUGGGUAUGUUGUAGUAGUAGUACUUUAUCUGCAGAUAUUACUGUGUUUUUGUGUAAUUUAAGUGCUAGAAAGUACAAUGCAAUUGGAAAGAUAUCUCCUUUUUUGUAUUUACUUAGUUAUAAGUUUUUUCCUGGAGCCUAGUGGUGGAGGAUUAAUGGUUAUUCAUUGAUAGAUGUUUAAGUUGAGGGUCUCUAUCCGAAACGCCCCCUCUAUCUCUGUGAGAUAGGGGUAAGGUUUGCGUACACUCUAUCCCCAGACCCUAAUUGUGGAAUUACAUGGGGUAUAUUGUUGUUGUUGUAAUACUAGUGCUUUAUAUGCAGAUAUUAGUAUGUUUUUGUGUAAUUGAACAGAAUUGAAGUGUUCUAAACUACAAUUUAAUUGGAAAGAUAUCUUUUUUUUUUUUUGUAUUUACUCGAGUUAGAAGUUUUUGCGGAGCCUAGUGGUAGAGGAUUAAUGGCUAUAUUCAUUUAUAGAUAUUUAAGUUGAAGGUUUCUAUCGGAAACAAUCUCUCUAUCUCUACGAGGUAGGGGUAAGGUUUGCGUACAGUCUUGACUCUAACCUUCCCAGACCCACUUGUGGGAUUACAUUGGGUAUGUUGUUGUUUUAGUAGCUGUACUAGUAGUAGUAAUUUAUCUGCAGAUAUUACUGUGUUUUUGUGUAAUUGAACAUAAUUGAAGUGUUCUAAAAUACAAUCAAUUGGAAAAAUAUCUCCUUUCUUAGAGGAUCAAUGGCUAUGUUCAUUUAUAGCUGUUAGAGUGAUUGGUACUAGUGUACAGUAGUGUUAUUUAGGGAUGGAAAGGCUAAUUAUUAAGUUCUUAAUUUGUUUUGGAUGUAAAAUUCAAUUUUGGAAUUAUAUGAGAUUAUUUUUUUUUUGGUCCUUGUUGUUGGGAAUGGUUAGUUUGCUACUAGAUUAUGUCUAUUUUAGAACUAGUACACAGUGCCAAUUCACAUCCUUUUAGUACUUUAUCUGCAGAUAUUAGUGUGUUUUUGUGUACUUGAACAAAAUUUGAAGUGUUCUAAAAUACAAUGCAACUGUAAAGGUAUCUCCUUUUUGAUUUUGCUCGAGUUUGAAGUUUUUCUGGAAACUAGUGGUAGUCUGUUGGAGGAUUAAUGACUAUGUUCAUUUAUAACAGUGACAGUGAUUGAUACUGUCGUACAAUAGUGUUAUUGACAGAUGGAAACGUUAAGUACUUUAUCUUCAGAUAUUAGUGUGUUUUUGCAUAAGUGAAGUGUUCAAGAAUACAAUGCAAUUGGAAAGAUAUCUCCUUUUUGAUUUUGCUCGAGUUCAAUUUUUGUUUCUUGAAACUAGUGGUAGUCUGGUAGAGGAUUAAUGACUAUGUUCAUUUAUAACAGCGAGAGUGAUUGGCACUAGCAUACAUUAGAAUUAUUGACAGAUGAAAAAUGUUAAGUAAUUUAUCUGCAGAUGUUAGUGUGUUUUUGUAUAAUUGCAGGUUUUCAAGUACAAGGUUUUGAAGAUUGAGAAAGUGAAUUAUACUGUGGGGAUGUACAAUACAUAUUGGAUGACUGUCAGAGUAUUAAAUCUGACUCUUGGCCAUAGUUGGUUUGCCAAGCUGCGAGUUUUGUUUUGGCCUGCAGUCAGAGGUUUGUUUCACGGAAGGAAAGGAACCAUAGUUAUUUAAAGUGUUCUACUCCAAGCUGCGAGUUUUAUUUUGGCGUGCUGCUAGAGAGGCCUGUCAUGGGAAGAAACGAACCAUAUCUAUUCAAAUUUCUUGGUUGGGAUUCUAUCUUUUGUAACUUUAAGUGCUUUAGUUUGACCUCUCUAUUAGUUUAAGGUAUCUUAUCCCAUAGUACUAUCACCUGGAUUUUAGUUUUGUAAAAAUUUAGGCACUUUCAGGACACUGAUCCAUAUAGCUGCUUCUAAAAUGUCAUCUUCACCUUGA